UACGUAGGGUGCAAGCGUUGCCCGGAUUUAUUGGGCGUAAAGGGCGCGUAGGCGGCUCUGCACGUCCGUUGUGAAAUCGCCCGGCUCAACUGGGCGGGGUCAGCGGAUACGGCAGAGCUUGAGCAAGCUAGGGGGCAAUGGAAUUCCCGGUGUAGUGGUGGAAUGCGUAGAUAUCGGGAGGAACACCAGUGGCGAAGGCGGCUCACUGGCUCAUUACUGACGCUCAGGCGCGAUAGCGUGGGGAUCAAACAGG
rnacentral:rRNA from 1 species